rnacentral:rRNA from 1 species
CCUACGGGAGGCAGCAGUGAGGAAUAUUGGUCAAUGGCCGCAGGGCUGAACCAGCCAAGUCGCGUGAGGGAUGACGGUCCUAUGGAUUGUAAACCUCUUUUGUCAGGGAGCAAAGGGCGCCACGUGUGGCGCUUUGCGAGUACCUGAAGAAAAAGCAUCGGCUAACUCCGUGCCAGCAGCCGCGGUAAUACGGAGGAUGCGAGCGUUAUCCGGAUUUAUUGGGGUUAAAGGGUGCGCAGGCGGAAUGUCAAGUCAGCGGUAAAAUUUCGGGGCUAAACCCCGUCGUGCCGUUGAAACUGGCGUUCUUGAGUGAGCGAGAAGUAUGCGGAAUGCGUGGUGUAGCGGUGAAAUGCAUAGAUAUCACGCAGAACUCCGAUUGCGAAGGCAGCAUACCGGCGCUCAACUGACGCUCAUGCACGAAAGCGUGGGUAUCGAACAGGAUUAGAUACCCCAGUAGUC